rnacentral:lncRNA from 1 species
GACAGUCCCCUUUCUGGCCUCGGUUUCCCUGUCUGUAAAUUGGGGAUAAUAAGCUCAAGAGCUGUCCCUGCCAGAACCCAGUGGACAGAAAUCCAGCAGCUGCUAUGGGAAGCGACCCGCCCAGCCUGCCCCGCCCUGCCUGGGGAAGCAGGCCUUCUGCUUGAGGGGGACUGGGCGCAUGCUGGGCCUCUGGUCUGCGCAGUCUGCCCGGGGUCUGUGAGUGCUUGUGAGUGGGCUUCUCCAGUCUCCAGAUUCUCGUUGAAAUCCUAACGCCCCAGGCAAUGAUGUUAGGAGGCGGGGCUUCUGGGAGAUGGCAAGUUCGUGAGGCUGCAGCUCUGCUGGGGGAUCAGUGUCCUUCUACAAGCGGCUCCAGGGAGGUCCCUUGCCCCUUCCACCAUGUGAGGACCCGAGAUGGUGCCGUCUAUGAACCGGGAAGUGAGUCCUCUCCGGACGUGGAACAAGUUGGUGCCUUGAUUUUGAACUUGCAGCCUCCAGGUAUGAAUGUGAGCUCUGGGCUCACUGCCUGUGGGGAGCCCUGCCUCACAAGGAGGGGUCCCUCUGCAUCUGCCAUGCAUGGCUGUUUCAAUCAAAGCUGCUGUCUAACACCACCGGCUCGACCUUGAGUUCCUCCCUGAGCAAAGCCAAGCGACCUCCUGGACUGAGCCAGUUUUCGUGCCUGCCUGCCCUGGCUCAUUGGCCAGGGACCCCACCCCGCCAUGUCCAGGCCUUGGUGAUACAGGACAGAGGUGCCCGUGCAGGUUGUGCCUGUGGCUGGGUCCCCAGGGAGAAGGUGGCAACCCCAGGCCAGCAGCCUCCUACCCUGAACUCCAGGCAACAUCGUCGGCCCCCUGGCACUGCACCUGCACUGUGGGCAGAGAAGGAGGGAAGGCUGGGAGAGGAGGAGGAGGUCGAAUGUCGCUGGAGGUCGGCGUCCUUCUGCAGCCGUGGCUUCAUGGGGUUUAAGUACGAUGAUGCUGCAUUGAGACGUUGUACUGUGUGAAGUCAGGGCCUUCUGUGCAUCGGUCGAGGGUGCAAUGCACACGGCACCCCCGAGCAGCCACCCAUCCUCCCUUCCCUCCACCCUGCGAGGCCCCGUUGUCCGUCUGUCCACACUCUGCUCCAUGAGCACACGUGACUUAGCUUCGCCUUGUGAGCCGCUGCUUGGGGUGAGCAUGCUUCCUGCUGGAUGCUUCUCUAUGUAAGCACCUGCCUGAGUGUCAGCCCUCUUAAGGUGAACCGCUCCGUGUCAUUCGUACAUUCACAAGUUUGUGCCGCCAUCAUCGUGAUCGGAUUCCAAAACAUUUUCAUCACCUCCAAGAAAGCCUUGUACCUGGCAGCAGUCACUGUCUCUAUGGAUUUGCUUAUUCUGGACAUUUCAUAAAAAUAGAAUCAAACAGCAUUUGGC